rnacentral:rRNA from 1 species
GGGCCCGCACAAGCAGUGGAGCAUGUGGUUUAAUUCGAUGCAACGCGAAGAACCUUACCAGGCCUUGACAUCCUAGGAAUCCUGUAGAGAUACGGGAGUGCCUUCGGGAAUCUAGUGACAGGUGCUGCAUGGCUGUCGUCAGCUCGUGUCGUGAGAUGUUGGGUUAAGUCCCGUAACGAGCGCAACCCUUGUCCUUAGUUGCCAGCACAUUAUGGUGGGGACUCUAAGGAGACUGCCGGUGACAAGCCGGAGGAAGGCGGGGACGACGUCAAGUCAUCAUGGCCCUUACGGGUAGGGCUACACACGUGCUACAAUGGUCGGUACAGAGGGUUGCCAAGUCGCGAGGCGGAGCUAAUCUCAGAAAGCCGGUCAUAGUCCGGAUUGCAGUCUGCAACUCGACUGCAUGAAGUCGGAAUC